rnacentral:rRNA from 1 species
UAGGGAAUCUUCCGCAAUGGACGAAAGUCUGACGGAGCAACGCCGCGUGAGUGAAGAAGGUCUUCGGAUCGUAAAACUCUGUUAUCAGGGAAGAACAAGUACCGGAGUUACUGCCGGUACCUUGACGGUACCUGACCAGAAAGCCACGGCUAACUACGUGCCAGCAGCCGCGGUAAUACGUAGGUGGCAAGCGUUGUCCGGAAUUAUUGGGCGUAAAGCGCGCGCAGGCGGUUCUUUAAGUCUGAUGUGAAAUCUUGCGGCUCAACCGUGAGCGGUCAUUGGAAACUGGAGAACUUGAGUGCAGAAGAGAAGAGCGGAAUUCCACGUGUAGCGGUGAAAUGCGUAGAGAUGUGGAGGAACACCAGUGGCGAAGGCGGCUCUUUGGUCUGUAACUGACGCU